GAAAUGCGAUAAGUAAUGUGAAUUGCAGAAUUCCGUGAAUCAUCGAAUCUUUGAACGCACAUUGCGCCCUCUGGUAUUCCGGGGGGGCAUGCCUGUCCGAGCGUCAUUGCAACCCUCAAGCGCGGCUUGUGUGUUGGGCCACCGUCCCCCCGUGGACGGGUCCGAAAGGCAGUGGCAGUUCCGGGCUCCGGUGCCUGAGCGUAUGGGCAUUUUCACGUCCGCUCAACAGGCCCGGCCGGCGCUGGCCGACCUCUGAAGUCUUCCUAAGGUUGACCUCGGAUCAGGUAGGGAUACCCGCUGAACUUAAGC
rnacentral:misc_RNA from 1 species